rnacentral:lncRNA from 1 species
CGUCAACCACCCACACGUAGUUUACUCGGUGCGCCAGCGCCUGCACCAUCACCGCCACCAGCGAGCUCUCCGAGUAGCACACGAUCGCCUCCUCCGAGCUCCUCUGCAUCCCCAUCGAUCUCACCCUCCUCAGCUUCCUCCCAGCUGACUCCUCGUCCUCCGACGAUGAGGAGGAUAAGGGAGAGAAGAGCUCCUCCUCCAUCAGCUCCAGCAUCCCCUUGAAGCCUUUCUCCCUCAGCCCGGCCUUGAUCGCUCGGACGGUGGCCUCCGGUGGCGAGCCACAGUAGUCGAUGUAGGCCAUGAGGUCCCCGACGGAAAGCAUGACGAGGGCGGCCGCCACCGUCUCGUCGCAGGCGGCGAGGGUGGAGGGGGAGAUCUCGCCGACCAGCUUGCCGUCGUCGGUGAUGACUGCGACGGAGGUCUGGUCGGCGAGAGCGCGGCGGAUGAGGGGGAGGGCGUUGAGGGCGGCGUCAUCGUACUGGAUGGCGAGGACGUUGGAGCGGACGAGGCCGAGGGAGGAUACGGAAUGGGCGGCGAUGGGGGCGAAAUGGGCGAUGGAGUUGAAGAAAUAGCGGACGAAAUCCUCCUGCGUCAGCCAACAGAAUUCCGCCCCUCCGCCACCGCCGCCGCCGCCGCCGGCGGAGUGGUGGUGGAGCUUCCUCCGGCCACCGGAGCGGAUGGGGACCACCAGGCACGAAGCCCCGUCGAGGAUCACAUCCAGCGCUUCUAAUACACUGCAAAUUCCCCCAAAAGAAAAUCGAAUUUUGUACUGAUCAAAAUAAAAAAAAUAUAUAAAUUCUCACAAGAAACUUAUUUUAUCAUCCGGUACGGUGCCGAAUUAAAUCUCAGUCCGAUUUUUGUCCCUUCUUAAAGGAAAGGAAAUAUUAGGGAGAAAUUUAAUAGAGGAACCAUCGAGAUCUGAUAGAUUUUAAAUAAACAAGCAAGAAAGAUCUGGCAAUUGUUCGAACAAAUUAAUCAAACCUUUCAAGAAGUGAAGCACGAAACCAUCAAGAUUAACAGAUUAUUGUCUAUUUCUAAGAUCCGGAAGGAGGGAGGGAGGGGAUACCUCGAAUGGGACUCGACCCGGCGGACGAGGGCGGCGUCCUUUGAAAGAAGGUCGGAGAUGGGCUUCUUGAGAGCGUCGACAGGAGAAUCUAGGUUCUCGUCGACGCAGAGGAAGCAGAGGAUGUCCACCACGC